UGGGCCUUCAGAAAGAUAGGUAUCAGGGCUUUCAUUUUAUUAUGCUACUUGGUUUUUGGCUCUAUUAUUCCAUAAUAAAAAUGUACUAAAUUUUCACUGCUUUUUUUUUUUGUGUGUGUGUGUGUGUGUGUAUGUGGGUAUUGAAUCAUAAGGUGCUCAAUAAUUAGGCCACAUCCCCAA
rnacentral:sRNA from 1 species